rnacentral:piRNA from 1 species
AGGAAGUCAGGUUAGGAACUCAAG